rnacentral:SRP_RNA from 1 species
ACCGGGUUGAGUGGCGUCAACUUGUCACCGCAGGCUUCUGGCGGGGUAGGGUUCUUUAAGGGAGAUGUCACUAUUGUGAGGGAUCUAUCCACGGCAUGUGGAUGGGGUGCCCGUUUCAAACCAGGAGUGAACAUUGUGGGGACUCAGCAAGGGGCCCAACGAGGUUCUUAAAGAGAGGUGCACCGCCUCAGGCUGGUAACAGAGCAGGGAAAAGCUUCCGCUCUUGGUAGUGGAAGGAUCGCAACCCAGAAUGUCGAUGGUCCCUCCCAAUGGAAUAUGGCGUCGUUCGAAAGGAAUCUGC